CCCUCGCAGUGUACCGAUGUUUGGGAGCAAGAGGCUGUGGGCCCGGGCUUGACGUCAUCGACCCACGCACUGGACGGAUGGACUGAGUCCUGAAAGUGUAAAGCGCUCCCACAAAUUGAUAAGCAACGAACACGAUUCUAAUGGGGCGGGGAAAGUGCAAGUGGCGCCCUCCGCAGUCGCCCGUCGCGCGGAAAAGCCCAGGCGUUGACCUGCGGCAGCAAGAGCAGCAGCCCCCGCCUGAGUGUGGAAGGGCCCUGAAAAUGAGGUCCAUCACUUGUGACCGAAGGAACGCGUGGCCAAACACUGAUACCUUUUUUAAAAUCUAUGACAAGUGCUUUUUUUCCCGUAGGAUAUCCAGUGUUCAUCACCAGUGUACGGUCAAGCCUCCCAAGCACUGCGGCUGUCUUUGACAACUGACAUGUGUUUCUCUAGAUGUCACUAUCGUCAGUGGGGACACAGGGUGCCAGGCAGCAACAUGGGCACCUUGAAGCAGGCAUGAAAGCGGAGACAUGCUGGAUAGGAGCCGGUGAGCUGCCAGGCCUCAGGCGAGGUGCACUUAACAUUACAGUCUUCAUUUAGAGCCUGUAAUGAGAUGUAUCGGGGAAAGCACCAGCACUAGGUAUGUUCAUAAGCAUCUUUGGCAAGAACCAAAGGAAACUGAACCUGUUUCCAAGUGUACUGUGAGGAGCAGUGUGUUAAUUAACUGAUUCAUCUCCCAUGACAAAAUCCCAGGGCACAUGGCACCAGAUUUUGUGAGGUUGGCAUUAGGGAAAAGAAGGGCAAAGGAAUACCACCCCGCAACCCUAAAACUAUAUUCUCAAUUUCUUAUAAGAGCUGUAUGCUUUCAUGAGGAAGAUACUGCAUUCAAAGAAAAUAAAUUAUCUCCAGUUUGGCAAGAAUCUGAAAUUGGACUGGUGCCUUUGACCAGAUACAGUUUUCAGAGGUAGUUACAGUGAUGUGUCAACCUUUCUAAAUAAGGGUAUUAAUGUGGAGGAGGUAAAACCAAAUGAGGCGAGGGCUGUGCCCCGAGGAAGCAGCACUCCUACUGCUACUGUGCCAAUUCAUGAAAAAUCUGCAUUCCUUGGCUGGCUGAUGCACCCAAACAGAACCCCAGCAUGGAAAGCAUGCACCUACCUGCUUAGACCACUUCAAGAAACUCUGUUCCUGAAAUAUUAAAGGCAGACUGGGAAUAAACAGGACACAGUACCAACAUCUGGUAAACCUGGCGGCAUCCAGCAGAGACCAGCCUAAGUGCCCAGAGGGAAAUGCCCCAAGGGGCCCACGCC